GACGAACGCUGGCGGCGUGCUUAACACAUGCAAGUCGAACGGAAAGGCCCUGCUUUUGUGGGGUGCUCGAGUGGCGAACGGGUGAGUAACACGUGAGUAACCUGCCCUUGACUUUGGGAUAACUUCAGGAAACUGGGGCUAAUACCGGAUAGGAGCUCCUGCUGCAUGGUGGGGGUUGGAAAGUUUCGGCGGUUGGGGAUGGACUCGCGGCUUAUCAGCUUGUUGGUGGGGUAGUGGCUUACCAAGGCUUUGACGGGUAGCCGGCCUGAGAGGGUGACCGGCCACGGUGGGGGUGAGGUGAGGCCCGGAGGGCUGGGGGAGGGGGGGGGGGUGAAGAGGGGCCGGGGGGCGGAGGCGUGGCGCGGCAGGGGCGCGGGGGGGGGGGGGGCCGUGGGGUUGUACAGCGUUGGCGCCUGGGACGGAGAGGGAGGGGCGGUAGAGGGUAAAGAGGGAGCGGAGAACGACGUGCCAGCGGACGGGGAAAUAAUGGGACGAGCAAAGGUCCGAAC
rnacentral:rRNA from 1 species